rnacentral:rRNA from 1 species
CUACGGGAGGCACCAGUGGGGAAUAUUGCACAAUGGGCGCAAGCCUGAUGCAGCCAUGCCGCGUGUAUGAAGAAGGCCUUCGGGUUGUGAAGUACUUUCAGCGGGGAGGAAGGGAGUAAAGUUAAUACCUUUGCUCAUUGACGUUACCCGCAGAAGAAGCACCGGCAAACUCCGUGCCAGCAGCCGCGGUAAUACGGAGGGUGCAAGCGUUAAUCGGAAUUACUGGGCGUAAAGCGCACGCAGGCGGUUUGUUAAGUCAGAUGUGAAAUCCCCGGGCUCAACCUGGGAACUGCAUCUGAUACUGGCAAGCUUGAGUCUCGUAGAGGGGGGUAGAAUGCCAGGUGUAGCGGUGAAAUGCGUAGAGAUCUGGAGGAAUACCGGUGGCGAAGGCGGCCCCCUGGACGAAGACUGACGCUCAGGUGCGAAAGCGUGGGGAGCAAACAGGAUUAGAUACCCGGGUAGUC